rnacentral:rRNA from 1 species
CUAAGGCUCCAGAGGAAGCCACGGCUAACUCUGUGCCAGCAGCCGCGGUAAUACAGAGGCGGCAAGCGUUGUUCGGAAUUAUUGGGCGUAAAGAGCACGUAGGCGGCCUUGCAAGUCAGUUGUGAAAGCCUUCCGCUUAACGGAAGAAUGCCAGCUGAUACUACGGGGCUUGAGUACGGGAGGGGAGAGUGGAACUUCUGGUGGAGCGGUGAAAUGCGUAGAUAUCAGAAGGAACGCCGGCGGCGAAAGCGACUCUCUGGCCCGAAACUGACGCUGAGUGCGCGAAAGCUAGGGGAGCAAACGGGAUUAGAUACCCCGGUAGUCCUAGCCGUAAA